rnacentral:sRNA from 1 species
GGGGAGAAAGUGCUAGGAGCUGGGACCCCUCCCCCAUCCCUCACUCUCAUCAGAAGAGGAGAGGAGAGGAGAGGUUGGGACCAGUCUUCACCCCCUGGAAUGUCACUGAUGAUAAAACCAUAAUGGUGGCAGCCCCAGCAUUUACAAAGAGGAGGGAUGCGGCAGGGCCAUCUUGCUGAAAGCCCGAACUAAAGGAAGCUGUGUUUGGACAACAGGCACAAUUUGGGGUGGUGGCACAGGGCCACACACCUCCGGUUACCCCUUGGAUCAACCACAGCAGGUGCACCUGUCCCUGACUCAGAGCCCUGGAACCACACUCACCAGUUCUCAGGACUCCUUCUCCAGCCAACUCAGCAUGGGGCCUUGUCUUGCUAUCUAUAUUCUCUGCCUAGGUGAUCUCAUCCAUACUCGUGGCUUUAAAUACCAUCUAUAUGCCAGUGACUCACAAAUGUAUAUUUCCAGCCCAGACCUCUCCUUGGAGCUCCAGACUCCGAGAUGUCUGUUUGUGAUGUCCAAAUACAUCUCCAAGGCAAUGGAUC